GAUGAACGCUGGCGGCGUGCCUAAUACAUGCAAGUCGAGCGAACGGACGAGAAGCUUGCUUCUCUGAUGUUAGCGGCGGACGGGUGAGUAACACGUGGAUAACCUACCUAUAAGACUGGGAUAACUUCGGGAAACCGGAGCUAAUACCGGAUAAUAUUUUGAACCGCAUGGUUCAAAAGUGAAAGACGGUCUUGAUGUCACUUAUAGAUGGAUCCGCGCUGCAUUAGCUAGUUGGUAAGGUAACGGCUUACCAAGGCAACGAUGCAUAGCCGACCUGAGAGGGUGGUCGGCCACACUGGAACUGAGACACGGUCCAGACUCCUACGGGAGGCAGCAGUAGGGAAUCUUCCGCAAAGGGCGAAAGCCUGACGGAGCAACGCCGCGUGAGUGAUGAAGGUCUUCGGAUCGUAAAACUCUGUUAUUAGGGAAGAACAUAUGUGUAAGUAACUGUGCACAUCUUGACGGUACCUAAUCAGAAAGCCACGGCUAACUACGUG
rnacentral:rRNA from 1 species